rnacentral:rRNA from 1 species
UACGUAGGGCUCAAGCGUUGUCCGGAAUUAUUGGGCGUAAAGAGCUCGUAGGCGGCUUGUCACGUCGGGUGUGAAAGCCCGGGGCUUAACCCCGGGUCUGCAUUCGAUACGGGCUAGCUAGAGUGUGGUAGGGGAGAUCGGAAUUCCUGGUGUAGCGGUGAAAUGCGCAGAUAUCAGGAGGAACACCGGUGGCGAAGGCGGAUCUCUGGGCCAUUACUGACGCUGAGGAGCGAAAGCGUGGGGAGCGAACAGG